rnacentral:rRNA from 1 species
UGCGUAACAGCUCACUGGUCGAGUGGACAUGCGCCGACAAUACACGGGGCUAAGCGUUGUACCGAAGCAGCGGACUGUUUUAUCAGUGGUAGGGGAGCUUUCCAUGCCGGGGCGAAGCCGACGGGCGACCGUCGGUGGACUGCAUGGAAGUGAGAAUGCUGGCAUGAGUAACGAGAGAGGGGCGAGAAACCCCUCCGCCGUAAGCCUAAGGGUUCCUGGGCAAGGCUAAUCCCCCCAGGGUCAGUCGGGAGCUAAGGCGAGGCCGACAGGCGUAGCCGAUGCACAACAGGCGGACAUUCCUGUACCACCGCGGAGCGUUACUACGACGGGGUGACGGAGAAGGGUAGCCGGGCGGGGUUCUGGACGUCCCCGUGAAAGCGCGUAGGCCGCAGGGCAGGCAAAUCCGCCCUGCAGCGAGGCCGAGACGUUAGACGAAGCUUCAUGUGAAGCCGGCGAGCCCAUGCUUCCGAGAAAAACCUCUAAGGAGCGAGGCGGUGCCCGUACCAAAACCGACACAGGUAGGCGGGUAGAGCAUACCAAGGCGAUCGGGAGAACCAUGGUUAAGGAACUCGGCAUACUGACUCCGUAACUUCGGGAGAAGGAGUGCCCCCGACGGUGAUUCCCCUCGCGGGAGGAGCUGUUGGGGGUCGCAGCGAAACGGCCCAAGCGACUGUUUACCAAAAACACAGGACUCUGCAAAGCCGCAAGGCGACGUAUAGGGUCUGACGCCUGCCCGGUGCUGGAAGGUUACGCGGAUGAGUUAGCGCAAGCGAAGCCCUGAAGCCAAGCCCCAGUAAACGGCGGCCGUAACUAUAACGGUCCUAAGGUAGCGAAAUUCCUUGUCGGGUAAGUUCCGACCUGCACGAAUGGCGUAACGAUCUCCACACUGUCUCGGCCAGAGACUCGGUGAAAUUGCAGUCGCGGUGAAAAUUCCGUGUACCCGCAGAAAGACGGAAAGACCCUGUGCACCUUUACUAUAGCUUGACAUUGGAUUUUGGGCCUGCAUGUGUAGGAUAGGUGGGAGGCUGUGAACCCUGUACGCCAGUAUGGGGGGAGCCAUCCUUGAAAUACCACCCUUGCAUGUUUAAGAUCCUAACUUCUUCCGGUUAUCCCGGAGAAAGACAGUGUCUGGCGGGUAGUUUGACUGGGGCGGUCGCCUCCUAAAGUGUAACGGAGGCAUGCAAAGGUUCCCUCAGCCUGAUCGGAAACCAGGCGCUGAGUGCAAACGCAUAAGGGAGCUUGACUGUAAGAGAGACAUCUCGAACAGGAACGAAAGUUGGCGUUAGUGAUCCGGUGGUCCCGAAUGGAAGGGCCAUCGCUCAUUGGAUAAAAGGUACGCCGGGGAUAACAGGCUGAUCGCAUCCAAGAGUUCACAUCGACGAUGCGGUUUGGCACCUCGAUGUCGGCUCAUCACAUCCUGGGGCUGAAGCAGGUCCCAAGGGUACGGCUGUUCGCCGUUUAAAGUGGUACGCGAGCUGGGUUUAAAACGUCGUGAGACAGUUUGGUCCCUAUCUUCUGUGGGCGAAGGAGAAUUGAGAGGGCCUGUCCCUAGUACGAGAGGACCGGGAUGGACGCACCCCUGGUGAUCCUGUUGUCGCGCCAGCGGCAUAGCAGGGUAGCUAUGUGCGGAAGGGAUAACCGCUGAAAGCAUCUAAGCGGGAAGCCUGCCUCAAGAUAAGUUCUCCCCUCGAAAGAGCUGAAGGGCCCGGGUAGACUACCCGGUCGAUAGGCUGGAGGUGUAAGCGCGGCGACGUGCUCAGCUGACCAGUACUAAUAGCCCGAGCGGCUUAUUUUU